rnacentral:rRNA from 1 species
AGCGAACGCUGGCGGCAGGCUUAACACAUGCAAGUCGAGCGGGCAUCUUCGGGUGUCAGCGGCGGACGGGUGAGUAACGCGUGGGAACGUGCCUUCUGGUUCGGAAUAAUUCAGGGAAAAUUGAGCUAAUACCGGAUACGCCGGUGUGGGGAAAGGUUUACUGCCGGAAGAUCGGCACGCGUCUGAUUAGCUAGUUGGUGGGCUAACGGCCUACCAAGGCGACGGUCAGUAGCUGGUCUGAGAGGAUGAUCAGCCACACUGGGACUGAGACACGGCCCAGACUCCUACGGGAGGCAGCAGUGGGGAAUAUUGGACAAUGGGGGCAACCCUGAUCCAGCCAUGCCGCGUGAGUGAUGAAGGCCUUAGGGUUGUAAAGCUCUUUUAUCCGGGACGAUAAUGACGGUACCGGAGGAAUAAGCCCCGGCUAACUUCGUGCCAGCCGCCGCCGUAA